UACGGAGGGAGCUAGCGUUGUUCGGCAUUACUGGGCGUAAAGCGCACGUAGGCGGUUAUUCAAGUCAGAGGUGAAAGCCCGGGGCUCAACUCCGGAACUGCCUUUGAAACUAGAUAGCUUGAAUCCAGGAGAUGUGAGUGGAAUUCCGAGUGUAGAGGUGAAAUUCGUAGAUAUUCGGAAGAACACCAGUGGCGAAGGCGGCUCACUGGCCCGGUACUGACGCUGAGGUGCGAAAGCGUGGGGAGCAAACAGG
rnacentral:rRNA from 1 species